CAGCUGGAAACAUUGUCAAUUUCUUCAGACGAUCUAGUGGAGUGGACUGAGAUUGUUAAUGGGGCCUUUCCAAGUUUGAGGAGGCUUAAGUUUGAAUUUUGUCCAAAUUUGAGGUUUUUUCCCGAAGGUUUGCAGCACAUCUCUACGAUUCAAGAACUUCGUUUAUGGAAUUCGCAUGGGGACCUGGCAAGAAAAUUGAGAGGCGUAGAAAAUUAC
rnacentral:misc_RNA from 1 species